GCCAGGGGGGCCUAAUGGUUAGAGCGCUGGGCUGGGACCUGGGAGAGGAGGGUUCGAAUCCCCCCGGGGUGACCUUGGAG